GAUGAACGCUGGCGGCGUGCCUAACACAUGAAAGUCGAGCGAUUCUCUUCGGAGAAGAGCGGCGGACGGGUGAGUAACGCGUGGGUAACCUGCCCCAUACACAUGGAUAACAUACCGAAAGGUAUGCUAAUACAAGAUGAUAUAAGAGAUUCGCAUGGAUUUCUUAUCAAAGCUCCGGCGGUAUGAGAUGGACCCGCGUCUGAUUAGCUAGUUGGUAAGGUAACGGCUUACCAAGGCGACGAUCAGUAGCCGACCUGAGAGGGUGAUCGGCCACAUGGGAACUGAGACACGGUCCAAACUCCUACGGGAGGCAGCAGUGGGGAAUAUUGCACAAUGGGCGAAAGCCUGAUGCAGCAACGCCGCGUGAGUGAUGAAGGCCUUCGGGUCGUAAAACUCUGUCCUCAAGGAAGAUAAUGACGGUACUUGAGGAGGAAGCCCCGGCUAACUACGUGCCAGCAGCCGCAGUAACAC
rnacentral:rRNA from 1 species